UCGUAACAAGGUUUCCGUAGGUGAACCUGCGGAAGGAUCAUUAAAGAAAUAAACUUGAUGGGUUGUAGCUGGCUCUAAUCUGAGCAUGUGCACACUUGUCAUUUUUAUCUUUCCACCAUGUGCACUUUGCAUAGGUCUGAAAAUCAAAGUCUUAGACUUUUGAUGUCUUGGGAACUGCUGGUUGUUUUACAAUCGGCUUUUCCUGUCUUCAGGCUCUAUGAUUUUAUAUACACCAUGUAUGUUAAAGAACGUCAUUAAAGGCUUUCAAAGCCUAUAAACUUAAUACAACUUUCAGCAACGGAUCUCUUGGCUCUCGCAUCGAUGAAGAACGCAGCGAAAUGCGAUAAGUAAUGUGAAUUGCAGAAUUCAGUGAAUCAUCGAAUCUUUGAACGCACCUUGCGCUCCUUGGUAUUCCGAGGAGCAUGCCUGUUUGAGUGUCAUUAAAUUCUCAAUCUCUACAACUUUGUUGUUUAGUGGAUUGGAUGUGGGGGUUUCUGUGGGUGUUUAAGUACAUUCCACUCCCCUGAAAUGAAUUAGCUGGAAUGCCUCGGCAAGUCCAACUAUCAGUGUGAUAAAUAUCUACUGUGGUUGUUGCAUGAGGGUAUCUGCUUCUCAACUGUCGCAAGACAACUUGAAUCAUUUUGACCUCAAAUCAGGUAGGACUACCCGCUGAACUUAAGC
rnacentral:rRNA from 1 species